rnacentral:rRNA from 1 species
UAGGGANUCUUCCGCAAUGGACGCAAGUCUGACGGAGCAACGCCGCGUGAGUGAAGAAGGUUUUCGGAUCGUAAAGCUCUGUUGUAAGAGAAGAACGAGUGUGAGAGUGGAAAGUUCACACUGUGACGGUAUCUUACCAGAAAGGGACGGCUAACUACGUGCCAGCAGCCGCGGUAAUACGUAGGUCCCGAGCGUUGUCCGGAUUUAUUGGGCGUAAAGCGAGCGCAGGCGGUUAGAUAAGUCUGAAGUUAAAGGCUGUGGCUUAACCAUAGUACGCUUUGGAAACUGUUUAACUUGAGUGCAAGAGGGGAGAGUGGAAUUCCAUGUGUAGCGGUGAAAUGCGUAGAUAUAUGGAGGAACACCGGUGGCGAAAGCGGCUCUCUGGCUUGUAACUGACGCUGAGGCUCGAAAGCGUGGGGAGCAAACAGGAUUAGAUACCCUGGUAGUCCACGCCGUAAACGAUGAGUGCUAGGUGUUAGACCCUUUCCGGGGUUUAGUGCCGCAGCUAACGCAUUAAGCACUCCGCCUGGGGAGUACGACCGCAAGGUUG